AAGAGCCGUGUGAAUCGAGAGGUUCACGCACGGUUCUGUGAGGGCCUCGGGGUUGAAAUUCCCCGGGGCUACUCGAC
rnacentral:ncRNA from 1 species